AGCCGCCACAGUAAACAACAUGUGCAGCUCCACUAAAAGCUGCACACCACAACCACAAAGCACAUUGCUUCUCAUUUCAUCUUUCGUCUUCCCUGGCUCAACAACGGACACACAGCUAACGGUUUCAUCAUUGCUUUAAUCCCAUGCUGACAUACUUCGAGUACCAUAAAAUAGAAAGUGUGUGUUGUUUGAAGACCACAUCUCUUUGUUGCUACAUCCCUGAUCAGCACUAUCUGCUCAUCUGCCUCCUGUGGGUGCACAGAGAUAGGGACAAUGGCAGUUUCUGUCCUCUGAGACUCCGUCUACCCCUUCAUUAAGGUCAUUCCUGCGAGAAAGCCAGGCGCCUGGUUAUUGUUUGGUUAACCACUGUCUAAACUCAUGAUAUGAGCCCAAGCAAUGUGGUUUGCUAAUGGCACAGAGUCUUGAGAUAAUGGAGAGAAAGAGUUCAACCAUGCAGAGGCACGUAUGUUUGUUGUAUAAGCUCUCCUGUUUGGCAGGUGUGUGAUGGCUGAGAUAGAAACCAAGAACAGAAAAUAGAUCAAAGGAGAAAAAACCAUGUAUUUACAGUGAACAAAUUUAUUUUUGUCUUUAUCUUCAUGUCUGUUUCAUGUUUAAAGAUAAAUAUAAGCCUCAACUACCUCUCCUG